rnacentral:tRNA from 1 species
UCCCUGGUGGCUCAGACGGUAAAGUGUCUGUCUGCAAUGUAGGAGACCCGGGUUCAAUCCCUGGGUUGGGAA